UACGUAGGGUGCAAGCGUUAAUCGGAAUUACUGGGCGUAAAGCGUGCGCAGGCGGUGAUGUAAGACAGUUGUGAAAUCCCCGGGCUCAACCUGGGAAUUGCGAUGGAGACUGCAAGGCUUGAAUCUGGCAGAGGGGGGUAGAAUUCCACGUGUAGCAGUGAAAUGCGUAGAGAUGUGGAGGAACACCGAUGGCGAAGGCAGCCCCCUGGGUCAAGAUUGACGCUCAUGCACGAAAGCGUGGGGAGCAAACAGG
rnacentral:rRNA from 1 species